GGGCGAUUAGCUCAGUUGGUUAGAGUACAUGCCUCACAUGCAUGGGGUCACUGGUUCAACUCCAGUAUCGCCCA
rnacentral:tRNA from 1 species